GUUGCAUAUGGCAGGUAUGGCUGGACCUUCAUUAGAGGAUGUUUCCAUUCCGAUUUCUCACUCCCUUGUUAGAUUGGAGCUGUAGGAAUGUGCAUCUGGGAUCGUAUUUGAUUCUUAUGAUUAGGUGGCAUUAGGCCGCCAUUCUACUUUUUGUAAGGAGGCUUAGCCCUAUGCUAGGGACACAAGAAACAUUAGUUGUACUCACUUUUUUGAAGUAAUAUACUUUCAUCUUUCUUAAAAAGAAAAAAAAAAAAACUAGUGUCACUAGAAUUUAGUAGAGAUUAACAAUAUAGCCUAACAACCGAAAGUCUUACUGAAGCAACUGAACGUACCACAAAAAGCCUAGAUUUGGAAGCUAAUAAAUUAUACCAGUGUGUCCUAUCAACUAAUGAUUUCCAAGAUACCAAAAUCUCAAAAGAAAUUCAGGAGAUUAGCAUGGCUCGAAGAUCGUCAUAUGAAUUUACUUGCUGUAAACAUACUAGGAGGGUAUAAGCUCUAAAAAUUUCCAUGGAUUCAUAUCAUAUUUCAUUGUUAUUCUUAUAUAAGAGGCAAGACCAGAUGUCCAAAAAAAAUCAGGUCCUUCCAAAAGUUUUCCUACAAUCUCCUUUGCAAUCCUCACUAGUCCAUGCAAGAUCGGAUGAUGGACUUAAAACAAUAUAAUCGAUCUAUGCAGUUCACUAGCAGUCUAGCAUUACCACUAUGCAGUUCAUUAGUAUUACCAUGAAGACAAAUACAGACUAUCGAAUCAUGUUGGAGAAUAUCAUGCAUUGCUGAACUUCAGCACCAACUGCUUAUAGUGACUUUCAAAUGCUUAUAAUGACCUUAUAAUGAUACACUCUACAGAUUCGGUUAAUGGUUAAUGGGAUCAACAGACUUUUCCAUGUAUAAUAACCUUCCCUCAACAAAACUGCGAUCCAGUGUGACAAUGCUAGCCUAAAAUUGUCAGGCACCAGGGAUCAGCAUGCCAAAGUCGAUGAAAAAUGAAAAGGCUAUAAAAGAUAACCAGUAACCACUGUCUCGGAAGAAAAGGAAUAAUACAAACAUGUGAAGAUGUUAAAAUUCUUUAAGUAAUUUGUCUCCAUAAAGGGUCUUUUGAGUUUUGCUUGGAGGUUUUCAAGGCAUUGAAUAUAAAUAGAAAUGCUUUCAAAACCGAAGAAAUAUUCUCAACUUCCAGGGCAUUGGCUAAUGUGCAGGAACUAAAGAGCAACACACUAGCACUUCCAUCCUAUACUGGAGUUUAUGAACAAGCAGCCAUCCUUAGACAUCCAUGGAAUGUCAGCAUAAGCAACAGGAUGUCAUUACCAAGAUUCUGCAGGGUUACAGUAUAUCUCCUCUACUCUUAUCUUGAUCGCACAACAGAAAUCUUAGCCAUCUUUCUAGGACUUCAAAUUUUCAAUCCGCCUAUGCAAUCUCCUAAAAUAUUCUUUAGGGUCACGUGAAGUCCUCUUUUGAAUGUCCAUUAGGUCUCCCUUACCCAUAAUGCUAAUGAAGUACCCCACAUUGCUAUUAAAAUGACGAGUGACAAUGCUCCAAAUUAACAAGCGAGUAAGACUAUAAUCUAAGGAUAUAAACUGAUAAGACUGUAAUCGAUUAACAUACGUGCACAGAGAGUAACGAAAUGCUUCAUGUCAAAGUUACAUCACCAAAAUAGAACUCAAACAAAGUUUCUUGGUUGAUAUAAGAUUAAAAAAAAAAGGGUGAGGUGGGAGAUCUCAAAAAGAUGCUUAUUUUCAGAUGAACUCUCUCCGUGCGAUUGAGGGAAUCAAGGGAACAAACUGAGGAAUGGGAAUCCAGUUUCCAAAUCCAUGUAUGGAACGAUUAGAAUUGAUAUCUCAUGUCAUUCGGAGUCUCUAGCUCCAGUUCUUCAGCAUCAGCAAUCAUAACAUGCUUGACAUUAGGAACGUACCAAAUUGGAAAAGCCAAAGUGUGAUGCUACUGAUCAUGAAGAGUUUAGAAAGGAAUAGAGUUAGUCGCAUAGAAUUCACAGACCAAUCAGAAAAGCAAAUAAUAAGUCUUGUCAAAGUGAGUUGUCAGCACAACCGGUCAGGACUAUGCAUUAAUUGACAACUUUUUUUUAUGGUCAUUUGAACAUUUUGUCCAUAUCCUUGGAUUUAUUAAGAUGGAACUGUUCCUAUGUCCUUUGAUUCCCGGAAAAGCUUGCUCCAACAGCGAGAAGAAAACGACAUGCAAACAUAUACAUAAAAUUCCACAGUAAGUACAUAAAAGAUGUUUCAAUCCAAAAAUUGAGAUAGUUACUCCAGCCUAAAAAAGGAACCACUGUAACUUCUAUUUCCCUGUAAGUGAUAAUGAAGUCCAACAAGCCAACUUAUUUCGUUUGUACUGAGAUUCAUACACCUUUCUUGUCGACAAUGGCCUGUGACAUCUUUUGUCAACAUGCUUCCUUGUCACCUUCUCACAACUUCCAGCCAAAAUCAUCACAGGCUAAAUUUACUCCGCCAUAUUUACAGACGCGUUUUAGUGUUCUUCCGACGGUUGUCUUCAUCAUUUUGUUCGAAAUUUCAGGAUUCCUAUUUCGUGUGCUUAAUUUUGUACUUAUUCCAAGCAUCAUCUUUCAAAAUUUGCUAAUCAUCACCGCAUUAUUCUCAUCUUUGAAGCUUCCAGAGAGAGAACAUUCGAGUAAAAACAUGCAGCAAGCUUUUAUUUCGUGGUUUAUUUCCAUCGAACUAGCACUAUUCUGCAAUCAGCACAAUCUCUAUUCCAAUCUCGCGGUCCUUGGAACACCGACAUUGGCGGUGUACAAACUCAACGGCCAAAAGAGGAACCCUUUUGUUCGCUCCCUCCUCAAAAAUUAAUGAACCAAAAAGAAUUAACAACUAUAGCUUUCUUGCACUAGAAUCAGCGAAGAAACAAGCAAAGCAUGAUAAAAUCGAAUCUUUCGCCGAUAACAAUAAAGACGAGAAUACAAAAGGAAACCCAAGGCUGGAAUCGCGCACCAAAGCGAAGACGCCGCUCUCUCCUUCGGAAUCGGAACACUAAACGAAGCAAUCGAGGGCGAACUCGUGGCUCGUCCUGCUCAAGUGUGAUCGCGUCGUUGGCGGCCGUCGAGGGAUCGAACCCCGACCCCGGACCCCCGGCCAUCAGGGGGGCACAGCUAGGGCUGGCUAAAAC
rnacentral:lncRNA from 1 species